GGGCUCUCUUCUAAACACGACCACACCAGCACUCGGCUCCUCCUCCCUCACUCUCCGUCUCCUAAAGUCUCCAACCACCGUAACGGCAUUGGGCUUUGGAGUAGUGUAGUCUCUGAUUGUAUUUAUGUGCUACAUUGGUGGUGGGUUUAUAUUUAUGUGCUACGUUGGUGGUGGGUUUAUCAAAGGCAACAUCACUUCUCCACUUAUUCAUCGUUUACUCUCAUUUUCAAUUAGUAAUCGAUUGAAGGAUUCAGUUGUUGAGAUCCAAAAGAAUCUGAGAGGAUUUUAAUUUACGCCAGCGACAAAUUCAGAGACGGAGGAUUUGCUGGGAUGUAAAGAAGGUGAGGUAGAGGAGAAGAGAAGAGAGAACGCCGGAGGGAGUGAUAUUGGUUGUGAAUCUAUCUGGCGGCGAUGAAGUAGGGGACAGAGAUGAUUGCGAUCGUGGCAGUAAAUUGUCAAGAGUAAUACUCAACAGAUUUUGCCAUGUCUGCACCUGCUAAGAAAAAGUUACACAGAAGCUAAGGAGAAAGAUCUAAUGCUUGUGUGCUUGCUAAAUGAUUGCCCUCAAGUUGGUUGCGGCGGCAGAAGAAGAUUAAAGAUAUUUCUUGAGAAGUUUAAUAUGAAUUCACC